UACGUAGGGAGCAAGCGUUAUCCGGAAUUAUUGGGUGUAAAGGGUGCGUAGACGGGAUAACAAGUUAGUUGUGAAAUCCUCCGGCUCAACUGGAGAAUUGCAACUAAAACUAUUAUUCUUGAGUACAGGAGAGGAAAGUGGAAUUCCUAGUGUAGCGGUGAAAUGCGUAGAUAUUAGGAAGAACAUCGGUGGCGAAGGCGACUUUCUGGACUGCAACUGACGUUGAGGCACGAAAGUGUGGGGAG
rnacentral:rRNA from 1 species